UACAGAGGGGGCAAGCGUUAUUCGGAAUUAUUGGGCGUAAAGGGCGCGUAGGCGGCCUGGCAAGUGGAAGGUGAAAUCCCUCGGCUUAACCGAGGAACUGCCCUCCAAACUGCUUGGCUUGAGUCCGGGAGAGGUGAGUGGAAUUCCCAGUGUAGCGGUGAAAUGCGUAGAUAUUGGGAGGAACACCAGUGGCGAAGGCGGCUCACUGGACUGGUACUGACGCUGAGGUGCGAAAGCGUGGGGAGCAAACGGG
rnacentral:rRNA from 1 species